ACAGAGGUCCCGAGCGUUGUUCGGAUUCACUGGGCGUAAAGGGUGCGUAGGUGGUAGGGUAAGUUUGAUGUGAAAUCUCCGGGCUUAACCCGGAAAAUGCAUUGAAUACUAUUCUGCUAGAGAGUUGUAGGGGGGACUGGAAUUCUUGGUGUAGCAGUGAAAUGCGUAGAUAUCAAGAGGAACACCAGUGGCGAAGGCGAGUCCCUGGACAACUUCUGACACUGAGGCACGAAAGCUAGGGGAGCAAACAG
rnacentral:rRNA from 1 species